GAUGAACGCUAGCGACAGGCCUAACACAUGCAAGUCGAGGGGCAGCACGAAGGAAGCUUGCUUUCUUUGGUGGCGACCGGCGCACGGGUGCGUAACAGGUGUGCAAUCUGUCCAUAGUCGGGGAAUAGCCCAGCGAAAGUUGGAUUAAAGCUCCAUGUGUCACGAAGCCGCAUGACUUUGUGAUGAAACGUAAGGACUAUGGGUGAGCACGCUUCUGAUUAGGUAGUUGGUGAGGUAACGGCUCACCAAGCCGACGAUCAGUAGGGGUUCUGAGAGGAAGGUCCCCCACAUUGGAACUGAGACACGGUCCAAACUCC
rnacentral:rRNA from 1 species